rnacentral:rRNA from 1 species
GACGAACGUUGGCGGCGUGCUUAAUACAUGCAAGUCAACUGAAGCAGUGGUAGCAAUAUCGCUGUGGAGGUGGCGCACGGGUGAGUAACACGUAGGUAAUCUGCCUUCAGGUCUGGCAUAACUCCGGGAAACCGGGGCUAAUAGCAGAUGAUGCAGCGGCUCGACAUCGAGACAGUUGUUAAAGCUAUGGCGCCUGAAGAUGAGCCUGCGUCUGAUUAGCUAGUUGGCGGGGUAACGGCCCACCAAGGCAACGAUCAGUAGCUGGUCUGAGAGGAUGAUCAGCCACACUGGAACUGAGACACGGUCCAGACUCCUACGGGAGGCAGCAGUAAGGAAUAUUGCUCAAUGGGAGAAAUCCUGAAGCAGCAACGCCGCGUGAGGGACGAAGGGCUUUUGCUUGUAAACCUCUGUAGUGAGAGAAAAAAAUCCCAAUCUUUGGGACAUGAUGGUAUCUCAAAAGUAAGCCCCGGCUAACCACGUG